GUUUUAUGUCCUCAACUUCGUUACUGAAAUACAGCUUUUAAUUGGUAGUGAAGCCUGUGUUCUAGUGCGGAGGUAGCUGCCCGGACAAGUUGCUUGCUGUGGGUUUGGACAAGUUACUGUUGCAACAAUUUCCUGAUUGUCUGAGAGGAUAUCAAGGGUGGGGUGCUUGUCUGGUUUGUUUUGGUAGCCUUGAGUGGGGAGGUCUGGAAACGAGUUCCUUGCUGAGAACAGGGAACAUCUGAUUGCAGCAUGGAGUCUGACUUUAUUGAAAACAGAAAAGGUAAUUUUCCCUUCCAGCUUGGAGUGACUGUACAGUGGAUAGCUCUCACUGCACAAGACUUCAGCCUCCCGGCUAUCUUGAGACACGUAACAAACACUAGAAACGCUGCCAGAUAGAACCUGAGAAAAUGGCAAGUAAGAGCAAACCUGAGUUUGUUACUCUGAGGAGACGCUGCUGACCUUCACAGAAGCCUGGCAGCUUUCUGAAGCUGUGACUUGUAAGGUGCGGGCUGCUGCUGGUGGCAUAAUGAUAGGCGGAGGCCUCAACCUGGUGUAAGGUUCAGCCUUGAUGAGCCAUUUGGCAAAAACUAUAGCAAAGGUCAUGUUGUAUACAUGUCCAGAAGAGGAAUCUGCUGGGACUUCAGCAAGACCAGGCUGACUUCUGUGGACCUCCUCUUAGUUCUCAGCAUCACAGGAACAGCCACCAAAAAUACAGAUGCACUCAGAGGGCUUGGUGGUGAGUGGCAAAAGUAUUCAAGCUCUGAAAUCAGCUCUGAAUUUCCCCAAGGAAGUUUGUUUUCCUGUUUUAAAACCUUCCUGCUAUGCUCGGGAUUCACUCUUUCCCAGUUCCUACAGCUCUGCUUGCAGUAGGGCGGGCUGAAUUGGGUGGCCUCCUUCUUGGUGAUAGAGCAGUUGACAGCUUUAGUUUUUGAGGUGGAUCGUUUUGUUUCUCAGCCUUUUCUGAAGCACUCAAGAGGGCUAUGUAGAUUGAAAACAUGAUGGGCUGAAAUAUGAAGUAAAAGCAUGCCUGGUCUGUUGUUUCACCUCAUAUUCUCCUAGUGUGUCCUGAACUUAUUAUCCUAGAGCGGAAGGGGACGCUUACAGGGCCGGGUGAGCGCAGUGCAGUUCAUGGAGCCUCUGCAGCACAAUGUUUGCUGCCAUGUGGCUGAAUUACAACUCUGGGAAGGCUGCUCGAGGUAAGGCUCAGAUGGAUUAAAGCUGCUCUGCCUGUCCUCGUUUUGAGCUGUGUGGGGGAUGGCUCGCCUGCCGCCUGUGGCACAGUGCCCAAACGCUUGCACUGAUUGUAGCUUUGAGACCGUAACCAAAAUGAUCGUUCUUAGAAAGCCAUUGCCACUGAGUUAAUGCUUAGGAAAAUUGGAGCUCCGUGUGAGCUGCUAUCCUCGCAGCACGGCUCCUCACCCAGCGCAGCCGGCAGCCAUUGGAGCUCUGCUCAUCUUACGGCUUAAGGGGAAGAAAAUGUUGGGACAGUGGGGAAGAAGGAAACUUCAUCAGAGCUGCAUGGAGAAUUGUCAUCUCGACAGCCACUGCUCAACCAGUUGCAAACUGUAGAGGGUUGAGUCCUGUUUUGCCAUCCGAAGGCACUGCAGCCUGCACAGGCUCUCAGGACAUCUGUGAUGGUGCCAAACUGGCUUCCCAUGGACAGGAUGGAGAUCCCUUAGCAGGGUGUGCCUCCUGCCACCAAAACCCCCCG
ensembl:lncRNA